rnacentral:rRNA from 1 species
GACGAACGCUGGCGGCGUGCCUAAUACAUGCAAGUAGAACGCACAGUUUAUACCGUAGCUUGCUACACCAUAGACUGUGAGUUGCGAACGGGUGAGUAACGCGUAGGUAACCUGCCUGGUAGCGGGGGAUAACUAUUGGAAACGAUAGCUAAUACCGCAUAAUAUUGAUUAUUGCAUGAUAAUUGAUUGAAAGAUGAUAUUGUAUCACUACCAGAUGGACCUGCGUUGUAUUAGCUGGUAGGUGAGGUAACGGCUCACCUAGGCGACGAUACAUAGCCGACGUGGGAGGGUGGUCGGCCACACUGGGACUGGAACACGGCCCAGACUCCUACGGGAGGCAGCAGUAGGGAAUCGUCGGCAAUGGACGAAAGUCUGGCCGAGCAACGCCGCGUGAGUGGAGAAAGUUUUCGGAGCGUAAAGCUCUGCUGUAAGAGAAGAACGGGUGUGAGAGUGGAAAGUUCACGCUGUGACGGUAUCUUACCAAAAAGGAACGGCUAACUACGUG